GAAAGUUCAGGUGAGGUUGGUCAGGAUCGAGGGUGUGGAAGCAACACUCUGGUCUCUCCUUCAGGGGCCACAGGACAGUGGUUGGCCUCAGGGAUGGAGAAGCCACAGGCGGUGGAGCAGAUGAAACCCCACCACAGCGGUUUGCAACACAGAAAAAAGAAGUCACUGUGGUGUGCGUCUGCUCAUAGAAGACAGGCCUGUGUCUAGGGCCACACAAACCUAGAGCUGCUGAGGGAUGGAGUGACAGGCUCCAGGCUGAAGGAUUAGAAUUCUUUCAAUUCCAGCCCAGGCACCAUGCUGAGAACAGAUGCUGGCCCAGGCCAGACUGCCAACCUGAAAGUCUCAGGGAAUCUAAAGAGGCCAACAGCCACCAAAACCCCACCCAGGGCUAGCCCCGACUUUCCCCCAGCCUGCUGCCUGCUCUGGGCCACUUAGUGGCACUCAUGCCCCAUUCUCUUCUCACCAUUAAAAACAUCU